UCUGAUUUCUUUGUGCAUGCAGUUUUUUUUCCAUUGAAUUCAAUAUCAGUGAGUUUCUCAAAUGUAGGAUGUUUUGCUAGCAGUGAUUUCUUUGUUCUGAUUCCUUUUACUUUAUACCAAUGUUUUUAUUCUCAAAGUUUAAUUUAUUUAUUUCAUUAUGGCAUUUUCCCAUAGGAUGCAAGCUCUGGUUGACUACAUUUUCAAUGGAGGCAUUUUCUCUAUGUCGGUAUUUUAGUAUACUAAUGAGGAAAAAAGCUCUCAAGAUUAAGCGAAUGGAGAUGGAACAAAAAGAUUGCUCCCUGAAGGUAGAUAAACUACUAGAAAGGCAUAGUUGGAUUAUAGCCGAGAAACAAUUAUUUGAAAAAAGUGGAACAGAUUAUGACUUCUCAUCUCGUGAUCCUCGUAAAUCAAGGGAGGAGCAUGAGAAACUUUAAGCUGAACAAUCUGGCCUUGAGAAGAGGGUCAACAAAAAAGUUAUGGUAAUGUUCGAGAAAGUUGAAGAUGAAUACAAUGACUUAUUAUCCAACAAAAACAUCAUUGAGAAUGAUAAGUCAAAAAUCAAGAAGGUGAUUGAAGAGCUUGAUGAAAAGAAGAAGGAAACACUAAAAGUUACUUGGGUUAAAGUGAACAAGCUGACAAGCCAAAGAAGUCAGUGGAGGAUGAAAUUCAUUUUCUCAAGGGAAGGGUUUUGGAACUUGAAAGUGAUCUUGUGUCGAAGUCCACAGAAAUUACAUUUACAAUUUCAAGGAAAGAAGAAGGUCUAUCUUCUGCAUUUGCUGAAAUUGACCGUCUGAAGGAAGAAAAUUCUGUAAAAACGUGAGCAUUAUUGAAUGCAUGUGGAAGGUGUUUACUGUGUUAGAGUGUAUUUGUUUCUUGCACAUGAGGGCACGCCUUAGUUGUAAUUCUUAUGAUAGGUUGAGCAAAGUGAAGUAUUGUUUAUUUAGAAAUGUGAAUAUAGGAUGCACUGUAUGAUUUGAUUGCUAUUUGUAAUAAAUGCAUCGUUUUUUUUUUCUGAUUGUAUUUUAUGUACUAUUUCUAUCAGCAUUAAGCUUAGAUGAGUUAUCAAUCACAGCAGGUUUUUGCAAUGGAAAUAGGUCGUAUUAAUUCAAAUUUUUUUUUUUAAAAAAUAGCUACAAAUAUAAUCCGUAGCUAUAGCUACGGCUUUUGUCCAU